rnacentral:rRNA from 1 species
GUUGUAUGGUUAAGUGACUAAGCGUACACGGUGGAUGCCUUGGCAGUCAGAGGCGAUGAAAGACGUAGUAACUUGCGAUAAGCCCAGAUUAGGUAGUAACAACCAUUUGAGUCUGGGAUUUCUGAAUGGGGAAACCCACGUGCAUAAGCACGUAUCCUUACCUGAAUACAUAGGGUAAGGAGGCGAACCGGGGGAACUGAAACAUCUAAGUACCCCGAGGAAAAGAAAUCAACCGAGAUUCCGAAAGUAGCGGCGAGCGAAAUUGGACUAGCCCUUAAGCUUUACACGCGUUAGACGAACGGUCUGGAAAGUCCGACGAUACAGGGUGAUAGUCCCGUAGUUGACGACGUGUGUUCAGUGAAAUCGAGUAGGGCGGGACACGUGAUAUCCUGUCUGAAUAUGGGGGGGGACCAUCCUCCAAGGCUAAAUACUACUGACUGACCGAUAGUGAACCAGUACCGUGAGGGAAAGGCGAAAAGAACCCCCUGUGAGGGGAGUGAAAUAGAACCUGAAACCGUGUACGUACAAGCAGUAGGAGCAGGCUUUGUCCUGUGACUGCGUACCUUUUGUAUAAUGGGUCAGCGACUUAUAUUCAGUGGCAAGGUUAACCAUCUAGGGGAGCCGUAGGGAAACCGAGUCUUAACUGGGCGUUCAGUCUCUGGAUAUAGACCCGAAACCAGGUGAUUCUAGCCAUGGGCAGGUUGAAGGUUGAGUAACAUCAACUGGAGGACCGAACCGACUAAUGUUGAAAAAAUUAGCGGAUGACUUGUGGCUAGGGGUGAAAGGCCAAUCAAACCUGGAGAUAGCUGGUUCUCCCCGAAAGCUAUUUAGGUAGCGCCUCGGACGAAUACUACUGGGGGUAGAGCACUGUUAAGGCUAGGGGGGUCAUCCCGACUUACCAACCCUUUGCAAACUCCGAAUACCAGUAAGUACUAUCCGGGAGACACACGGCGGGUGCUAACGUCCGUCGUGGAGAGGGAAACAACCCAGACCGCCAGCUAAGGUCCCAAAUUACUACUAAGUGGGAAACGAUGUGGGAAGGCUCAGACAGCCAGGAUGUUGGCUUAGAAGCAGCCAUCAUUUAAAGAAAGCGUAAUAGCUCACUGGUCGAGUCGGCCUGCGCGGAAGAUGUAACGGGGCUAAGUAGUAAACCGAAGCUGCGGCAAUAUACUUUUGUAUAUUGGGUAGGGGAGCGUUCUGUAAGCCGUUGAAGGUGUGUUGUAAAGCAUGCUGGAGGUAUCAGAAGUGCGAAUGCUGACAUGAGUAACGAUAAAGGGGGUGAAAAACCUCCUCGCCGGAAGACCAAGGGUUCCUGUCCAACGUUAAUCGGGGCAGGGUAAGUCGACCCCUAAGGCGAGGCCGAAAGGCGUAGUCGAUGGGAAACGGGUUAAUAUUCCCGUACUUCUUACAAUUGCGAUGGGGGGACGGAGAAGGCUAGGUGGGCCUGGCGACGGUUGUCCAGGUUCAAGUGCGUAGGCUUAAGAGUUAGGUAAAUCCGGCUCUUUCUAAGGCUGAGACACGACGUCGAGCACCUACGGGUGUGAAGUCAUUGAUGCCAUGCUUCCAGGAAAAGCCUCUAAGCUUCAGAUUGUAAGGAAUCGUACCCCAAACCGACACAGGUGGUCGGGUAGAGAAUACCAAGGCGCUUGAGAGAACUCGGGUGAAGGAACUAGGCAAAAUGGUACCGUAACUUCGGGAGAAGGUACGCUCUUGAUGGUGAAGUCCCUUGCGGAUGGAGCUGACGAGAGUCGCAGAUACCAGGUGGCUGCAACUGUUUAUUAAAAACACAGCACUGUGCAAAAUCGUAAGAUGACGUAUACGGUGUGACGCCUGCCCGGUGCCGGAAGGUUAAUUGAUGGGGUUAGACUUCGGUCGAAGCUCUUGAUCGAAGCCCCGGUAAACGGCGGCCGUAACUAUAACGGUCCUAAGGUAGCGAAAUUCCUUGUCGGGUAAGUUCCGACCUGCACGAAUGGCGUAAUGAUGGCCACGCUGUCUCCACCCGAGACUCAGUGAAAUUGAAAUCGCUGUGAAGAUGCAGUGUACCCGCGGCUAGACGGAAAGACCCCGUGAACCUUUACUACAGCUUGGCACUGAACAUUGACCCUACAUGUGUAGGAUAGGUGGGAGGCUUUGAAGCACGUACGCCAGUAUGUGUGGAGCCGUCCUUGAAAUACCACCCUUGUAGUGUUGAUGUUCUAACGUCGACCCCCUUAUCGGGGUUGCGGACAGUGCCUGGUGGGUAGUUUGACUGGGGGCGGUCUCCUCCCAAAGAGUAACGGAGGAGCACGAAGGUGGGCUAAUCACGGUUGGACAUCGUGAGGUUAGUGCAAUGGCAUAAGCCCGCUUGACUGCGAGAAUGACAAUUCGAGCAGGUGCGAAAGCAGGUCAUAGUGAUCCGGUGGUUCUGAAUGGAAGGGCCAUCGCUCAACGGAUAAAAGGUACUCCGGGGAUAACAGGCUGAUACCGCCCAAGAGUUCAUAUCGACGGCGGUGUUUGGCACCUCGAUGUCGGCUCAUCACAUCCUGGGGCUGAAGUCGGUCCCAAGGGUAUGGCUGUUCGCCAUUUAAAGUGGUACGCGAGCUGGGUUUAGAACGUCGUGAGACAGUUCGGUCCCUAUCUGCCGUGGGCGUUGGAAGAUUGAAGGGGGGCUGCUCCUAGUACGAGAGGACCGGAGUGGACGAACCUCUGGUGUUCGGGUUGUGUCGCCAGACGCAUUGCCCGGUAGCUAAGUUCGGAAUCGAUAACCGCUGAAAGCAUCUAAGCGGGAAGCGAGCCCUGAGAUGAGUCUUCCCUGAUACUUUAAGUAUCCUAAAGGGUUGUCGGAGACUACGACGUUGAUAGGUCAGGUGUGUAAGUGCUGUGAGGCAUUGAGCUAACUGAUACUAAUUGCCCGUGAGGCUUAACCAUACAACACCCAAGGGGUUU